GAUGAAAUUUCUGAAAGCAGCGGUAAUGAAAUAUGGGAAAAACCAGUGGUCUAGGAUUGCCUCAUUGCUGCAUAGAAAAUCAGCAAAGCAGUGCAAAGCCAGAUGGUAUGAAUGGCUGGAUCCAAGCAUUAAGAAGACAGAAUGGUCCAGAGAA